GACGAACGCUGGCGGCGUGCUUAACACAUGCAAGUCGAACGAGAAUUCUUUUCAAAGAAGCUUAGGUGGAAGUGAGAAGAAGGAAAGUGGCGAACGGGUGAGUAACGCGUGAGCAACCUACCUUAUACAAAGGGAUAGCCUCGGGAAACCGGGAUUAAUACCAUAUGAGACUCAAUUAACGAGUGUUAAAGAAGAUAAAGAUUUAUCGGUAUAAGAUGGGCUCGCGUCUGAUUAGCUAGUUGGUAGGGUAAAGGCCUACCAAGACGACGAUCAGUAACCGGAUUGAGAGAGUGAACGGUCACAUUGGAACUGAGACACGGUCCAAACUCCUACGGGAGGCAGCAGUGGGGAAUAUUGCACAAUGGGGGAAACCCUGAUGCAGCGACGCCGCGUGAGCGAUGAAGGUUUUCGAAUCGUAAAGCUCUGUCCUUGGAGAAGAUAAUGACGGUAUCCAAGGAGGAAGCACCGGCUAAAUACGUGCCAGCAGCCGCCGUAAGAC
rnacentral:rRNA from 1 species